rnacentral:tRNA from 1 species
GAGGGUAUAGCUCAAGUGGUAGAGCUCAUGCUUAGCAUGCACAAGGUCCUGGGUUCAAUCCCCAGUACCUCCU